AUUGACACCUUGUUCUGCCGUGGAGAUUGAGGGCUUUCGGCAAGAGGUUUUUGUCAGUCGAGCACUGCCAAAAAUGGUCAAAAAUGCUGUGUGUCCGUGUUCCCCUAUUACCCCUUCCCUUGUGCCUACCAGAGGUUUUCGUAUUUAAAUGAAGUUGCUGAGUGCCAUGCAAAUGCAAAUCAACUGUUGAGCACCGCCUUUUGACUCUUAUUUAUUUUGUAGCCAACCCUUUUUACCUUCUGUUCACCAUAAAGAAGUAUGUUUGGAGAAAGAAUAUUAAAACAAUCUAUCUUAUCCAUUAAAAUAUACAUUACAUGUGUGCUAGGAGCACUGAAAAACUUAGUUUUGGUUGAAUUGAUGAUAUAAAAGAAGAAUAUGCAUGAUUACAUACAAUAGACUUUUGUGAAACGUGAUCUUACUUUGACAUUCCUCCUAUCUGAAGAUUUAUCUUGUGAUGGGAGGAAUUGCACAACUUAAUCAAAAAUAAUAAUAAAAAACAUGUUCCAGAGUGGUUCAUUGUACCUAAAGUAUUUUUGUGAAUAAUAUUCAAACUAAUGUUAAUGUUCACUGAUUGCUUUAAAGACCCAGAGUCAUGCUAUGUUGGAGUGGUAGUGACACCAUUCCACAUCACAAUACAGGACUUAAGAAACUACAGAUGAUUUAUCAGUAUUCAGUUGCUUAACUCUCGAGUUUAAAUUGAAGAACAAAAUGGUUGAAAGUAUGUGAUACCUUCUGAUAGGGUAUAAACAUUUGUAUUCUUUUCUUUUAAGUUUUGUUAGUUAAGCACUAAAUAUAACUCACGGAUUAUGAAUCAUAUUCUGUAUAAAUUAAAAAGGAGACAGCUCAAAGUAGAAUUGAGUAAAUAAACAUCUAUACAUUUAAAAACAUUUUAGCAAUUAAUUAUAAUAAAAAUAAAAUAUACUGUCACGUAACUUUUGAAAAAAUAACUUUUAGAAUGUAUUUUUCUUCUGUCAACUUUCAUUUAACACUCCAGUCCAGUUGCUGGCAGUAAUGCGCUUUCAUAGUCGGUGAAGCAGCCGCCAUUAAACUCUAGAGGAAGAUUUGCACCGGCUACUGCUAAACCCAACAUGAACGAAAAUCCCCGUGCGUUGUGUGAAAUGGUGGAAACAGUCCUAUUUCACGGAGUUACCUUUUCAGUAUCGUUUUGAUAUUAUGCAAUGUUCCGGCGGAAAACAACAGAUGACACCGCGGCGGUCCAACAAGGCCGAACUCAUGGUAAGAAAGCUUUUAUGAAUAGCGAGCACGUGCAGUGAGGCGAGUUGCUUUGUUUGUUUUUUACAGAAAGCGGUCUGUCGUUUUCAUAUGCCAAAACAAAUGUAGGGAGAGAUUUCGUAUUGUAUUUUUUAUUACAUGUGAUGUUCUGAACUCUUAAAAAUACUCGCAUCUUUUUAUUUUUUUCAGACCUGAAAAAUGGCCAAACCUCAACAGCUAGGCCUCAGACCACGGUGCCGAGGCGCUUUUACGGAGUCCACCAGGACAAAGAGAAAUUCAUACAGCAAGGCAGAGUGUGGAAAGCAGGGAAAGCAGUAGAGAUCGACAACGUGGCGGAUGGAGGACGGAUAUGAGGACGGAGCCAUGAAGCCAGUAUGUAUUAUGUACAGUCACUGCGUUGAUUCCCGACUGUAUAAUGGUUGGGUGAGAAUAAUUUUAACUUAUUUACUUAUGUAUUUUUGAGAAAGCCAUAUAUUUGCUACAAUAUUUUUUUAAUUUUACAUUAAUUUCCACAGAAUGGGUGUCACAUUUGUGUCAAUCAGACUCUUCAGGAACGUCCUGAUGUCCGUGAUGAGGACAGAGAUGCAACUGUGUCUGCAACCAGGACCUACUGCCAGUCAUCUGGAUGUAGCUAAAGAAAGAAGCAGCUGAUGGAGGAAGGCAGAGAGUACUGGCAGCAGAGGAGGUGGCAUUCUGGGAGGAUGGCAGCUAUGAGGCGGUGUCAGGAUGGACCCCAAGUUCCUCCAACCAGGAGCUCAGUGACAUCAGGACUACAUUACAGGAAGAGACGUCAGGUCUAUGCUACAGGAGAGAUGUUGGGCCUGUCCUGAACGCAGCAUAAUGUUUGAUCAUGUUUGGACAAAAAAACACUGCCAGAUGGUCCAGAAAUGGACAAGCAUUUAUAUCUUAUUUUGUGGGCAAACAGUAAAAAAAAAAA